rnacentral:rRNA from 1 species
GAACGAACGCUGGCGGCAGGCUUAACACAUGCAAGUCGAACGCCCCGCAAGGGGAGUGGCAGACGGGUGAGUAACGCGUGGGAAUCUACCGUGCCCUGCGGAAUAGCUCCGGGAAACUGGAAUUAAUACCGCAUACGCCCUACGGGGGAAAGAUUUAUCGGGGUAUGAUGAGCCCGCGUUGGAUUAGCUAGUUGGUGGGGUAAAGGCCUACCAAGGCGACGAUCCAUAGCUGGUCUGAGAGGAUGAUCAGCCACAUUGGGACUGAGACACGGCCCAAACUCCUACGGGAGGCAGCAGUGGGGAAUAUUGGACAAUGGGCGCAAGCCUGAUCCAGCCAUGCCGCGUGAGUGAUGAAGGCCUUAGGGUUGUAAAGCUCUUUCACCGGAGAAGAUAAUGACGGUAUC